ACCUUUUUGGAUCCGUUCUGAGAUGUUGUCAGGUACCAACCCACUAAGGCUGAUGAAACUUCAAAGAUAUGUGAAGUU
rnacentral:pre_miRNA from 1 species